CAGUCGCCGCGGGAAUACGCAGGGUGCGAGCGUUAAUCGGAAUUACUGGGCGUAAAGCGUGCGCAGGCGGUUUUGUAAGACAGGCGUGAAAUCCCCGGGCUCAACCUGGGAAUGGCGCUUGUGACUGCAAAGCUAGAGUGCGGCAGAGGGGGAUGGAAUUCCGCGUGUAGCAGUGAAAUGCGUAGAUAUGCGGAGGAACACCGAUGGCGAAGGCAAUCCCCUGGGCCUGCACUGACGCUCAUGCACGAAAGCGUGGGGAGCAAACAGGAUUAGAUACCCGUGUAGUCCCUGUCUCUUAUAC
rnacentral:rRNA from 1 species